AUUUUAGCUAAGUCAUUUACAUUCCAGACUUUGAAAUCUCAAUCAUAAAUCAAAAUGAGAAGGAAAUCAGACAAUACAUGCAUGUAUAAGCACUUUAGAAAUUUUAGAUAAGAAAAAGGAUUUUUAGCUUUGAUAUCACAAAUUAGUGCUGUCUCAAAAUUGCACAGUAUUUGGUCAUUCUUGACCAACUUAUUCAGAAAGUACCCUUCUUUCCAGUCACUUGUAUCCCAGAAGAUGAAUGCAAUUAUUUUUUAAAUUCAAGAUGCUACCACUAAGCUAUCAAUAUAAUUUAAGUGAGUUGGAGGCUGUGCAUUGUUUUCCAUUUUUCCACACUUAGAGGUCAUUCUGAUUACAUCAUAACAGGGAUUGAGUAACAAUCAUUAUUUCUUUUCGUUUAAAAGCUCAGAUAAUGUGUUCCUAAAAGGGCAGAUAUCUCAGACUGACUUCCAAAAUGAGCGUGAAAUACUAAAACAUAGUUUUGCCAAGUAGAAAGUUGUGGUUUAGCUCUAUUUUUAAUCUAUGUUCAUCUGACAGUCCCAACCAGGUAUGAACUUGUUUGCUUUCUGAGUACUCUGACUCUUAGCUGUGCCACCUGUGCCGUAGGUGCCUCAGGUGAGGCGAAGGAGAUAGAGAAGACGCCUUUGGAGAGUCUUAGAGUACGCACUUCCAUCCUGCAUUUGCUUAUGUACAUUUUGAAAUUUGAGAAAAGAGUGAUGUGCAAAGGAAGUAGAAGAAAAUAAUGAAGAAAAGAAAAAAGCUUCCCUUAAAAACAAGUGAAAGGGGAUGAGAUGACGGAGUGGGAGUCACGUGGGCCGGAUCGCAUGAGGUCAUUUGUGGCUGAGAAAGGUGAGCUCUUCACAUCGGUGUUUGCACAUGCUUUGCUGCUUCUGCCUCGAUGCGAUGCUGGUCGCUCCUAUUGAUGGGCCUUUGGAGAAAUAACAGAAAGUUUGCAAAGGGAUGCGAGGGAAGCGGCCUGCACCACUAACCACACACCGUGUACCAGGUGCUUGUACGUAAUCCUCAUUAAACAUAAGGUCCAUGAUGUGACUGUAUUUCCUGCCCCCUUGAAGUUAGGCAUAGCCAUGUGACUUGAUACAGCCAAUGAAAUGAGAACAGAAAUGAUUCUGUCAUUUCAGGCAGAGGCUUUGAGAGUUCACCAUGUCUGCUUUUCCUGCCUAGGUGAUUGUGGACAUAUGUGUCAGCCUGGAUCUCUGAGUGACCACAAUUAACAGAUACCCCUGCUGACUCAUGAUGGACACCUAGAGUGAAAGAGAAGCAAAUCUUUAUUUUCCUACAGCACUGAGACUUGAGGGUAUUUUGCAGAAAAAUCUAGCUAUUCUAACAAUUAUGCAUAAGUCAUAAAGAUAAAAAUGUAUUUAAAUCAUGGACCUGGAUAAGAUCACCUAUGGCAUGCGUUUUGAUGGUAAUGAGGAGUGGGCUGAGGGCUGAGCCCCAUGGUCCUGUCCCAACACUUAGAGGUGAGGAAGAAAAGGAAGUUCCGGGAAAGGAGAGUGAGAGGAGCAGCUGCUAAAGAAAAUUAAGAGAUGGCGUGGAGAAAAUGCCUUAAGAAGGAGGAAGUAAUCGACUGUGUUAAGUGCUGUGGAUCGGCUAAGAAAGAUAAAAAUUUGGAAAUGAGCAAUGGAUGAACAAUGGAUUUGGCAACAUGGAAGUUACUGGGGACACAGGUUUGAUCCCUCGCUGGGGAACCAAGAUCCCACAUGCUGCGGGGCAACUAAGCCCGCCCGUGUGCCACAACCACUGGUCCGGUGCACCUCAACGAGAGAGAGAAAAACCUGCACACCAUAACUUGAGAGAAGCCCACGUGCCACAAUGAAGAGCCCGUACGUGCCGCAACCGAAGAUCCUGCGUGUCACAACUAAGACCCAACGCAGCCAAAAA